CACUACUAGUGGACUGCCGGUGACAAACCCGGAGGAAGGUGGGGAUGACGUCAAGUCCUCAUGGCCCUUAUGGGUAGGGCUUCACACGUCAUACAAUGGUCGGUACAGAGGGCUGCCAAGCCGCGAGGUGGAGCCAAUCCCUUAAAGCCGAUCGUAGUCCGGAUCGUAGUCUGCAACUCGACUACGUGAAGUCGGAAUCGCUAGUAAUCGCAGAUCAGCAUGCCGCGGUGAAUACGUUCCCGGGCCUU
rnacentral:rRNA from 1 species